rnacentral:snoRNA from 1 species
AUGGAAAUGAUGAUCCUUUCCCCACAUGAUCGACUAUGAUUAUACUAAGCUACUCUAUUUCUCUUCGGAGAAAUAUCAAGCCAGAAAUCUGAUCCAU